UACCUGGUUGAUCCUGCCAGUAGUCAUAUGCUUGUCUCAAAGACUAAGCCAUGCAUGUCUAAGUAUAAGUGUUAUACAGCGAAACUGCGAAUGGCUCAUUAAAACAGUUAUAGUUCAUUUGAUAAUCGAAUUUACAUGGAUAACCGUGGUAAUUCUAGAGCUAAUACAUGCUGGUGUGCCCGACUUUUGUGGAAGGGCGGUAUUUAUUAGAUAACAAGCCAAUAUUCCUCUGGUCUAUUGUGGUGACUCAUAAUAACUGAUCGAAUCGCAAGGCCUAUGGCCGCGGUAAGUCAUUCAAGUUUCUGCCCCAUCAGCUUUCGAUGGUAGUGUAUUGGACUACCAUGGCGUUUACGGGUAACGGAGGAUUAGGGUUCGAUUCCGGAGAGGGAGCCUGAGAAACGGCUACCACAUCCAAGGAAGGCAGCAGGCGCGUAAAUUACCCAAUCCUGACUCAGGGAGGUAGUGACAAGAAAUAACGGACCGGGGCCUUACGGCUUCGGGAUUGCAAUGAGCCGAAUUUACACCCCUUAGCGAAGAUCGAUUGGAGGGCAAGUCUGGUGCCAGCAGCCGCGGUAAUUCCAGCUCCAAUAGC
rnacentral:rRNA from 1 species